rnacentral:misc_RNA from 1 species
GAUGAAGAACGUAGCGAAAUGCGAUACGUAGUGUGAAUUGCAGAAUUCCGUGAACCAUCAAAUCUUUGAACGCAUAUUGCGCUCGAGGCUUCGGCCGAGAGCAUGUCUGCCUCAGCGUCGGUAUUACCCCUCGCUUCUCAACCACUGGUUGAUGCCUGCCUGCCUUUGCAGUUGGCUAGAAGCGGAUCUGGCUUUCCCAAUUGCCUUUGGUAGUUGGGUCAGCUGAAGCACAGAGGCUUGAGCAAGGACCCUUAUUGGGCUUCAACUGGAUAGGUAGAACUGGUCUUAGGACCAACUACACGAAGUUGUUGCUUGUGGUCUUUGUCUGGAGGCCAGCAGGAAACCUUUAUACCUUCGACCUGAGCUCAGGCAAGAUUACCCGCUGAACUUAAGCAUAUCAAUAAGCGGAGGA